UUCUACGUUAUCUAUUUUAUUUUCGUAUGUUUAUUUUACUAUUAAUGCAUUAAGCACAGGCACGCAAUAUUUCAAGCUGCUCAAGCGAUAACGCCCAACAUCAUUAUGUACUUACCGCGGAAUGUAGACUUACACCAAGUGGAAGAACUCUGCUGGUUGUCUUCUCCUCCUCUAGACGUUGAGAUUGAAGAAAAUUAUGUGCAGAGCUCUCUAAAGGCUAUAACAGUCUACUUCAGUGGUGCAUCAUCCACUCAAUGUAUAUGAAGAUGUUAAUCGCUUGCUGAAUUAGCCGCUUUUCCAGUUUGUUGCUUCCCGAUUAUAAGUUUUCGUUGACCACGGCCUACAGGAACCAAUUUGUCUACAAGUGAGAUUAGGGUUGUUUUGUUAGACACAAACAUACAUACGGAGAAGGUUCAGUUAACUUCCUCAAAAUGCUCGAUCGUUGGUUUUCAUGUACCAAUUUCCUUGCAAGAUUACAUGGUCUGUUGAUGUAGACCAAUCCUUUUCAAGAAAUGUACAGUUGCCGUAAACCGGCAUCUCUUCAGAACGAUAAAAAAAAAAAAAAAAAAACCGAACGUUUCCAAUGGUGUCGAUGAAGACAACCAAAAAUAUGUACCCUACUCUCGUUUAUCUGAAUGGAACCAAAAACUUGAAAAAAGGCCUUCUCCAUUC